rnacentral:rRNA from 1 species
UACGGAGGGGGCGAGCGUUAUCCGGAAUUAUUGGGCGUAAAGAGCUCGUAGGCGGUUUGUCGCGUCUGCCGUGAAAGUCCGGGGCUCAACUCCGGAUCUGCGGUGGGUACGGGCAGACUAGAGUGAUGUAGGGGAGACUGGAAUUCCUGGUGUAGCGGUGAAUGCGCAGAUAUCAGGAGGAACACCGAUGGCGAAGGCAGGUCUCUGGGCAUUAACUGACGCUGAGGAGCGAAAGCAUGGGGAGCGAACAGG